AUUCACCUCCCUGUCUCUACAAUUCGUCUGCAAAGGAUUCUACCUGCCGCUCAGUGGGAAUUGUACUUCAAGGCGGCCCGCGCGGCUCUUUCACCGCGAGGGCGUGGCCAACGGCACGUGCCUCCGGGGCAGAGAGGCCCCUACUGCA